AUUGAACGCUGGCGGCAGGCCUAACACAUGCAAGUCGAACGAGUGGCGGACGGGUGAGUAAUGCCUGGGAAACUGCCCGAUGGAGGGGGAUAACUACUGGAAACGGUAGCUAAUACCGCAUACCAUCGGAUGUGCCCAGAUGGGAUUCGCUAGUAGGUGGGGUAACGGCUCACCAAGGCGACGAUCCCUAGCUGGUCUGAGAGGAUGACCAGCCACACUGGGACUGAGACACGGUCCAGAUUCCUACGGGAGGCAGCAGUGGGGAAUAUUGCCCAAUGGGAGCAAGCCUGACGCAGCCAUGCCGCGUGUCUGAAGAAGGCCUUCGGGUUGUAAAGUACUUUCGGCGGGGAGGCGUUACUUGCAGAAGAAGCACCGGCUAAAUCCGUGCCAGCAGCCGCGGUAAUAC
rnacentral:rRNA from 1 species